CUUUCAACAACGGAUCUCUUGGCUCUCGCAUCGNUGAAGAACGCAGCGAAAUGCGAUAAGUAAUGUGAAUUGCAGAAUUCAGUGAAUCAUCGAAUCUUUGAACGCACCUUGCGCUCCUUGGUAUUCCGAGGAGCAUGCCUGUUUGAGUGUCUUGAAGUCAUCAACCGAGCCCGUUUCCUCUUUGGAGCGGGCCAGGUUGGAACCUGGGGCCGUGCUGCCGCAAGGCUGCUCCCCUCAAAUGCAUCGGUUGGGCCUGUGGGUCGAACUCGAAUGGGCGUUGUAACAUCCUCGCUCUCCACGAGACGGACCCCUCCCGUGCCCUCCUGCGACCGGCCUUUGGAGUGGCGGUCAACACUUUUUUGAAAUCUGACCUCAAAUCAGGUAGGACUACCCGCUGAACUUAAGCAUAUCAAUAAGCGGAGGA
rnacentral:rRNA from 1 species